rnacentral:rRNA from 1 species
ACGCUCGACACCUACGGGGAGGCAGCAGGUGGGGAAUAUUGCACAAGUGGGGGAAACCCUGAUGCAGCGACGCCGCGUGGAGGAAGAAGGUCUUCGGAUUGUAAACUCCUGUUGUUAGGGGAAAAAGAGGAUGGUACCCAACAAGGAAGUGACGGCUAACUACGUGCUAGCAGCCGGGUAAUCUGAGCGGGCUGGCAAGGC